rnacentral:rRNA from 1 species
UACGAGGGGGGCAAGCGUUGUUCGGAAUUAUUGGGCGUAAAGGGCGCGUAGGCGGUUUGACAAGUCUGAUGUGAAAUCCCUCGGCUUAACCGGGGAACUGCGUCUGAUACUGGAUGGCUUGAGAUUGGGAGAGGGAUGCGGAAUUCCAGGUGUAGCGGUGAAAUGCGUAGAUAUCUGGAGGAACACCGGUGGCGAAGGCGGCUCUCUGGGCAAUGACCGACGCUGAGGCGCGAAGGCGUGGGAAGCAAACAGG